UGUCAAGCAACCAUUUGGCGGGAAGGAAAUUAUCGAUUUGUCAUUGGUGCCUCGUGUGGGGGAAGGUUUAGAGUCGGGAGUGUAGUCGGGUACUGUGGCUGGGGAUAAUGUCGUUUCCCUGAAAUGGUUGCUAGACAUCUCAAUGGU